AGGACGAACGCUGGCGGCGCGCCUAACAUAUGCAAGUCGAACGAGAGAUGAGGAGCUUGCUCUUCAAAUCGAGUGGCGAACGGGUGAGUAACGCGUGAGGAACCUGCCUCAAAGAGGGGGACAACAGUUGGAAACGACUGCUAAUACCGCAUAAGCCCACGACCCGGCAUCGGGUUGAGGGAAAAGGAGCAAUCCGCUUUGAGAUGGCCUCGCGUCCGAUUAGCUAGUUGGUGAGGUAAUGGCCCACCAAGGCAACGAUCGGUAGCCGGACUGAGAGGUUGAACGGCCACAUUGGGACUGAGACACGGCCCAGACUCCUACGGGAGGCAGCAGUGGGGAAUAUUGCACAAUGGGGGAAACCCUGAUGCAGCGACGCCGCGUGGAGGAAGAAGGUCUUCGGAUUGUAAACUCCUGUUGUUGAGGAAGAUAAUGACGGUACUCAACAAGGAAGUGACGGCUAACUACGUG
rnacentral:rRNA from 1 species